rnacentral:lncRNA from 1 species
AUGAAGGCAGCCUGGGGGGCUCGUGGGCGAGGCGGGGAGUCCAGAAAGGCGAGCGCCUGCGAUCCCAGGAGGAAAAACUUUUUUUUUUUUUUCUUUCCAAUUAUGAAUCCCAUCCAGGGCGGGGCCUCUGGGUCUCGCUUCUCCGUGACCACCACGCAACCGCACACACUUUGCUGGGAAAUGAAAACGAGACGAGGGUCUGGGGGCGCGACUGGCUCCAGAUGCGGCUGCGGGGCGGUCAGAGGCCGGGCACCGAGGCUUUCGGGCCUCCGCGGCGGCCGCGUCCCCCAGGGCGCCCCCCUCCUCCCUCGCGACCUGGGGCAGCGGCGCCCCCCGCGCGGCCUCGCGUCGCCCGCAGGCCCGACUCGCCCUGUCCUCGCGCUCCCCCUCCCCGAGCCUGGGUCGGCCCCGAGCCCCCUCCCCAGCCGCGGCGUGAGAAGCGGGGCCACCCGAGCCGCCCACCGGCUGCACACAAAGCCCCCCACGGGGCCGCGGCGGUCCCGCUCCCGGGGCUCAGAGAGCAGCGCCCCGCGCUCCCGCGCCCACCGCCCCCGCCCCACCCCACGCCCCUGGGGAGGCGACGAGCCGGGGGGGAGACCCGGCGCACCGGAGCACCCCCCAGCAGGGCCCUCGGCCCGGCCGACGCUCUCACCUCCAAAGAACGGGCGGCGCCGCCUGCGGAGGAGGACGGCGGGUGGGGAAUACUCGCACCGGGUCGGGCCGCGCAGGGACCCGGUCCGGAAGGACGCGCGGCUGGGAGCGCUCACCCCGGCCCCGCGCGGCCGCGCCGCCUCCUCAGAAGGGAGGCCUCUACCGUCCGGCUCCGGACCUGCAGCUGACGGGGACGCGGGCGCGCGGGCGCGCGCUCCCGAUGGCCCCGCCCCGUCCCGCCGGCCCCGCCCCAUCCCGUCCCGCCCCCCGUCCCGUCCGGUCCUGCCGGCCCCGCCCCGCCCCCGUCCCGCCCCCCGUCCCGCUCCGUCCCAGCGGCCCCCGUCCCGCCCCGCCCCGCCCCGCCCCGCCGGCCCCGCCCCGCCGGCCUCCCCUUCGCCGCCGGCUCCCUCCCCUCCUCCCCGGCCGCGGGUGCCGUCCGCCCUCCAGAAGACGUACGCGAAGCGACAAGGAAAGCCUUCCACCAAAAUGAGCUGUGAUAUCCUUUUGAUGGGAUGGUUAUCAUAUAUUUAUAAGGUGUGUUUUCUGCAAUCAGAACCAACAAGGUGUUGAGCGAUCAGUCAUAAACGUACUUCUUCAAAAAGAGCGGGACAGAAGCUCUAGCAUUGUGUGGCGGAAGAAGAAAAUCUUAUGACAGUUAUUACCUCGCCCACCCUCUGCCCACGGUGAUAUUUUCAUUUCCUCUUGGCAUCUGGGAAGUGCAGUGAGGCGAGAGCUCUGCACCAACUCUCCAGGCCGCUCGCGUGACCCCGGGAACAGGGUCGCUGUGAACCUCAGACUCACAGCCCCAAGAGGACUGGUUUCCUUAUUGUGUAAGGAUCGUCCUCACUCUUUCUCCGUCUCUGUUUUUACUCCCAUCCAGGAAAAUAUCCUACUCUUCCCUUCUAAGCUUCCAGCAGGAUGCUUGCGUUCUGUACUUAAGUGCCUUAUCUUCUUGUGUCUGAUAUUUAGGUGUUAUGUACGGUAGAGAUCAUGCCAUAGUGACGCACAGGUUACCCACAGAGAGAACUCUGCAUUCCGAACUGGAAUCUCUGCCAGAACGCACAAACUCUUGAGAAAGUCAUAAAUUCUCAUUCAGUCUGGUAGACUGUCUUGACCAACCUGUGGAGACAUUGUUAUUUAUAGUCGUCCUUAAUGAGUGUACAUGGAUGGAUAUACAUCCGGAACUUCUGAGUUUCCUGUAACAAGCUAUCAUCAUAUUCUCAUCCACCAACCAACCACCUAUUAAUCAUUUUUUUUAGAGGGACUCUGGUUUGUAUUCAGUUUUUCCUUUUGCUUGAAACACCUAAUCUAAAGCAACCUACUCAUUAUUGUGAGAAAAGUUUAGCAGCCAGAAGUAUGCCUCUGUGGGCAAUAAAGUGACAUUUGUGAAGAGUGAGUCACAAGGUGGGGUAAAAUGCAGAGUUAAGAACACAUUCCUCUUAGGUUAACUGCCCCCAUGAUUUCUGAAUGGUCGGGCUUGCCUGCAAUGCCAACCUCUGAAGAAUGGACAGAAAGGAAAUCUGGUUGGGCAUUUGAGUUGUAAAGGAACUCCGGCAUAAGUGGAGCACCAUGUUCCUCUCUUACAAAGCAAAGGAACCAGGGACCUUGGCCUCAUUUGAAUUAGUAAAGAGCAUAGUUAGACCCAGCACCUUCACCUUGUAGCUUCUGAGGUCAUUGACUUAAUUUGCAAUUAAUGGCUAAUAUUUAUUGAGCACUAACUCUAUGCCAGGCACUGUGCUUUAUAUUAUAUGUAUUAUCUUUUUUUAAAAAAUUUUUUUAAUUUAUUUAUGAUAGUCACAGAGACAGAGAGAGAGAGAGAGAGAGAGGCAGAGAGAGAAGCAGGCUCCAUGCACCGGGAGCCCGACGUGGGACUCGAUCCGGGGUCUCCAGCAUCGCGCCCUGGGCCAAAGGCAGGCGCCAAACCGUGGGACUCGAUCCGGGGUCUCCAGCAUCGCGCCCUGGGCCAAAGGCAGGCGCCAAACCGCUGCGCCACCCAGGGAUCCCUAUAUGUAUUAUCUUAUUUAAUCCUAUCAACAAACUUAUGAGGGAAGUUUCCUCGUUUUGCCAGUAAGGAAACUGAGAUUUGGCAACAUUAAGUAAAUUUGGGCAUACUCCUAGUAAAUGAUGAUCUCAAAUCCAGGUCAGUCUCCAGUGCCCAUGCUCUUUACCCCAAUAAUGUAAUACCUCAAAAAUUUAAGAUUUUGACUUAAGAUUUUACAUAUAAAGAUUUUAGAGGAGCUGAGGACACAAUGAAAGUGGUUCUGGGAGAAGAAUGAAAGAACAGUCACUUGCAAAGGAAAGAUACGAUAGAUACAUAUACCCUGACUGGGUAGGUUACCUCUUUUCUGUUCUCUGCUUCCUACAUCUCAUGAUUUCUUUUUCAGAGUUGUCACCUGCCAUUUGGUGUCUAGCCAAAGAGACCUUAUCCAAGGUCAGUGAUGACUGCUAGGCUUGGGGUGGAAGUAAGGGGUGGGGUGUAUGACCAGACCCCAGAGAAAUCAUAGCACCCUGGGGAGGAGACUUAAGUGGGAGCCAGAGUUGGCCAGAGGCCCUUGUCCCAGACCCCCAGUUCUGAGAAUGAAAUGUUGCUUCCUAAUGGACUUUAAAUUAUCAACAUCGUUAAACUCUCCCUUAAUAGACUUGUAAAGAUCUGCUUGUUACCUUUUUCCCCCUUCAUGUAGAAUUUGUAAUCAAGAGCCCAAUUUUGUCAUUUGGAAAUACUAAUUAUCUAAUCACGCCAUGCUGCAUAACGUACUUGUCUGCCCAAUUAGCUAGGACAAUUAUUAAAAUUCAGAGGCCUAAUUAUGUCUCAAUUUAAUGCUGGCAAACUUGCAUACAGAGCAGUAAUUAAAAUCCUCUCUUUCCCUCUGCCUUUAGGGCAGGGGAUGAUUAGGCCCUGUCAAGGGGUGUACUGAACCAAACCAGUGAAGCGUAUUGUGCAACAUGACCCUGCAUUGUUAAGUGUGUCAACAUAUUAACCUGAAUUCCCUUCAGCCCCCACAUAAUCACAUUUGGUGGAGGAAUAAAGGAGCUAAAACAUGAAGCAUUUUAUUAAAAAAACAUAAAUUCUUUUUAAUUAAUGCUAUGAGAGUUCUGAUGAAUUUCAUGCUUCCAAGUGCUGGAAGACAUAAAACUGGUUCAUCUAAUUACUAGCAAAUUUGCUCUUGUUAAAACUACUUUUUUUUAAACUCAUUUAAAGAAAAUGAAUUUUUUUGGUGGUGUAAUAAAAAAAAAAAAAAGAAGAAGAAAAGCCUAGCUAGUUGGCUUCCAGUAAUACAGUUGAUUACCAGUUUUGUUUGAUGAUAGAACACAAGUGAAUGUUGACUUCCAAAAGAAUCCAUCCCAAGACUGGAGGCAUUAAAAAAAGGGCUAGAAUUUAAUAUUUGAAAGAUGUUAAUAAAAGUGGAACAUUAAAAAUCAUAAUAUUGAAACAAAUUCAAAAUAUUUAUCUUUUGAGCUUAAAAGUUUGAUGUCUGAAAUAAAACUAGCAUGAGGAGACCAGAGCACUGCACAAACUCCCCGUUGCUUUAGAAACUCCUCAGCAUGCGAGAACCCAGACCAUGUGUGUCUACUCUGCUGGCAUCUCAGUCCUCUUCUCUAUGAACUACAGAGAGCCACCAAACCCAGUAAGACUUCAGAGCUCUCCUCUAAAUUUUGGCUUUCACUCAUGAUGGAAUGUGUGAUACAUUACUCAUAGUAUUCAACUAAAAAAGAAAAGCAUUCUGUCUAGACCAAACAUGAAUUAUUCUGGAGAAAGAAGGACUUCUUUCCACUUGCUUUUAAACUUGUCCUGCAUGGAUAGUUUCUAGAGAGCAAGAGACACAGGAAUACACAGUCACUUCAUUGGACAGAGAUUACUCUCAAUUGAUCUCAUUUUGAAUCUCAUUGACAACCUUGUGAUACAGUAGGUGAGGCAAGCCAGUCUCCAUUUUUUUAAUGUGAGGCAAUUAAGAUACUUUUUGAAGCUGACCAUUCUAUACCCCACUUCCUAAUUAUAGGCAGGGCAGGUAGAACUCAGUUCCCCUGGCUAUUCAUUGCAUUAAGUGGAGUGGCUGUGAAUGAGACACCAAUGAGGGAUGCUUGGAUUAAUAAAGUAUCUCAAGUUGAGAUCAAAGUAUAAAUGAUAUAAUUAUGAAACAAGGGAACCUAUAUAUCAACACCAGAGGACCUUUUGUCAUCCAGUCGAUACUUGCUCGCAACAGGUUUAGUCAUAUCUGUUUAUAUCUGGUGUCUUUGGCCCACUUAUGUCUUCUUUUAAGUUUUUAUAUUCUCUAAGAUAUGUAUGAUUCCAUCUGAGUUGGUGGUACUAAAGGCAGAGUUCCUUCCUCCCACUCUUACCCUGGGUACAUUGUAGGAUAGAAGAUGUAUUUAGGGACAACUCUGGCUGGUAUAGGCCCUCUUACUAACAAAGAGAGUGACCACACAUAGCCUCUACAGGAGAUGGUUGGAUGGAGCUAGGACAAGCCCUUUGGCACUUGUGCCAUAAAACCAAGGGGUAGCCCCUCCCCCAGCCUCCCACAGAGUGUGCCCCAUGUCUUGAAAAUGGCCUUGCUCGAAGUCUCUCUGGAUGGCAAACUGAAGUGCAAAUCUGUGUUCUGACUUGUUCCUGUGGCUGUCAGCAUGUUUUCCUCUUGUCAGCAGCAAUUGACUGGUCAGGCUCACCCCUGUACAGCAAUUGUAACAGCUCAUUGACAGGCUAGUGACCCAGCUGGACCUGAUAAUGGAAAACUAUUGAUUUUUGUAGGCUCCACGAAUCUAAAAUGAACGACCAAUGUAAUGUCAUCAAUUGUCUCGGACUCUGAUAACCCAAGGGAGAAAGUUUCAGGGAUUGCUUGUAUUUCCUGACAAUAGUGUUUCAAAAUCUCACUAGGUAUAUGUAAGAAGAAGCCCAUUUCCUGGGUGUUUUUCUUAAAUGACCCCAAUUUGAUAGGGCUUCGAUACCUAGUCUUGGAUGUUAAAUAAAAUGGGAGUUAGCAUUGCCAAAUUAGCCAACUAGAACCUAUAUGCCAUUUAGACAAAAUAUUUGAGGAGAAGCACUUUGAUAAAGAAAUGUUUAAAAUAUUUAUUAUAAAACAAACUCACAGAAAAGAAAAAAAAAGUUGGGAUUAACCCAAAAU